CUUGCUUUUGAUGGGCGUCGACCGGCGCACGGGUGAGUAACGCGUAUCCAACCUGCCCAUCACUUGGGGAUAACCUUGCGAAAGUAAGACUAAUACCCAAUGAUAUCUCUAGAAGACAUCUGAAGGAGAUUAAAGAUUUAUCGCUUAUGGAUGGACUCGCGUCUGAUUAGCUGGUUGGCGGGGUAACGGCCCACCAAGGCGACGAUCAGUAGCCGAACUGAGAGGUUGAUCGGCCACAUUGGGACUGAGACACGGCCCAGACUCC
rnacentral:rRNA from 1 species